AAUCCAUGGUGUGGGCAUUGGUUAGUGUAACUCCUGAACCUCUCUCAUGCUUCACCAAAACUCUCAUUGCAAGCCUCUCUAGCAUUUGGUCAAUAAAUGACAAAGGAAAAUGGUCUUUCCUAGAGGCU
rnacentral:snoRNA from 1 species